CAAUAGCGUAUAUUAAAGUUGUUGCAGUUAAAAAGCUCGUAGUUGGAUUUCUGGUCGGAAGCUCCUGUCCUCUGAUGAGCGUACAAGUGCGUCCUACCAUCCUUCUGUUAACCUUUAAGGCUUUCGCGGCUUUCUAGGGGCUCAGAUAUUUUACCUUGAGAAAAUUAGAGUGUUUCAGGCAGGCUAGCGCCGGAAUACAUUAGCAUGGAAUAAUGGAAUAGGACUUUUGCCUCUUCUGUUGGUCAUGAGGCUCGAGUAAUGAUUAAUAGGGAUAGUUGGGGGCAUUAGUACUUAACUGUCAGAGGUGAAAUUCUCGGAUUUGUUAAAGACCAACUUAUGCGAAAGCAUUUGCCAAGGAUGUUUUCAUUAA
rnacentral:rRNA from 1 species